rnacentral:rRNA from 1 species
CGUGUGGGCAACCUGCCCUGUACUGGGGAAUAAUCACUGGAAACGAUGACUAAUACCGCAUGUGGUCCUCGGAAGGCAUCUUCUGAGGAAGAAAGGAUUUAUUCGGUACAGGAUGGGCCCGCAUCUGAUUAGCUAGUUGGUGAGAUAACAGCCCACCAAGGCGACGAUCAGUAGCCGACCUGAGAGGGUGAUCGGCCACAUUGGGACUGAGACACGGCCCAA